rnacentral:rRNA from 1 species
CCUACGGGAGGCUGCAGUGGGGGAUAUUGCACAAUGGGGGGAACCCUGAUGCAGCGACGCCGCGUGGGUGAAGGAGUGCUUCGGCAUGUAAAGCCCUAUCGGCAGGGAAGAAGCAAGACGGUACCUGACUCAGAAGCCCCGGCUAACUACGUGCCAGCAGCCGCGGUAAUACGUAGGGGGCGAGCGUUAUCCGGAUUCACUGGGUGUAAAGGGAGCGUAGACGGCUGUGCAAGCCAGGGGUGAAAGCCGGGGGCCCAACCCCGGGACUGCCCUUGGAACUGCAUGGCUGGAGUGCGGGAGGGGUAAGCGGAAUUCCUGGUGGAGCGGUGAAAGGCGUAGAUAUCAGGAGGAACACCGGCGGCGAAGGCGGCUUACUGGACCGCGACUGACGUUGAGGCUCGAAAGCGUGGGGAGCGAACAGGAUUAGAUACCCGGGUAGUC